rnacentral:rRNA from 1 species
AUGGGUAUGGGUAUGGGCUCCAGGGAGAAGCGUAGUGGUGGGAGCUCUGUUUUUGUGUGUGUAGUCCUAGGCCUAGCUCUGCUCCUUGUUUUGGCGACGGCCAAGGACCUAGCCGACAUCGUCAAUUAUUCCUGCAAACCCAAGUGCGGCCAGCAAUUUGAUCCAUCCUCCGAUUCCUAUGUGGGGUGCAUGUUUGGCUGCGAUUUUGGGUUCAGCGACGGCAUGCGUCUCCAGGCCCACGGGGACACUAGCGGUGAAGGAGGCAAGAAGAUGAAGCGAGGGAUCAACGCUGCCCACCUGUUAUCCAACUCGCGGUGCGACGAGCAAUGCAGCCAAGUAUAUGAUCGAUCCUCCUCCUCCUUCUCGGAGUGCAUGACUAUCUGUAGUAUGAUUUAG